rnacentral:tRNA from 1 species
GGGGUUGUAGCUCAGUGGUAGAGCGCUCGACUCGUAAGUGUGAGACCCUGGGUUCGAUCCUCAGCACCA